rnacentral:rRNA from 1 species
CAGUAGCGUAUAUUAAAGUUGUUGCAGUUAAAAUGCUCGUAGUUGAAGUUCGGAUGCAGCAGAGCUUGGAAACGCUGUUAUGGUGCUUCCGUUGCUUUUGCUUGUCCACAGUGCGUUGCAAGUACGUAUGUGCUUGUGCGUGCAUUUUACUUUGAGAAACAUAGGGUGUUCCACGCAUGUUACGGCAUGAAGAUUCCAGCAUGGGAUAAUCUGGUACGACUUCCAAUCUGCCAUUUUGGUUCGUAGGUUGGAAGUAAUGAUUAAUAGGGACUGUCGGGGGCAUUGGUAUUUGACUGUCAGAGGUGAAAUUCUUAGAUUCGUUGAGGACCAACCACUGCGAAAGCAUUUGUCAAGGAUGUCUCCAUUAA